ACCUAAAGAGAUGUUUUUAUAACAUUGUUUUUGUUAGAAUAAAUUUGUACAUAAGUUAUCCCAUAUUUACUCAGAACUUUUGUACUGUUGUGUUAACAUAUAUGAUAAAGUGUGUUCAUUGUUUUUCUGCGAGGAACGUGAUCCUGGGAAUGCAGUCAAAGAUUUUGUAUUGACCCGGCGGCAGCUGUUCACCUUAAAUCUGCAAGAAAUGGACCUAAUCUACAGCGGUGAACAAACGAUCACAAGGGAUGUUUUGAUUAGCUUCCUGACGAUGUCAAAAAAUGUUUAGAUUAGUUUCUUAACUUUUGUAAACUAUGUGUGUGUGUGUAUGUUUGUACCCCUUACCCUUUAGAAACAAAAGUCACAUGUUGUAUGCUAGGAAACGCCCAGAUUCUAAUAAAGGUGGGAACAGAGCUUUGCAAAACUCAGAGCAAACUAGUGCGUUGUCUGAGUACAAGCUUUUAUUUUGCUCUCCACGUGAAAGGAAUUCCUCGAGUCCGCGUCCUUUCUUUCGGCAUACAUAUAGUUGAGAAAUCUUGGUUUAGUUUAGACCCAACAGUUAUGCUAUUGAAAAUUUUAACAUACUUUUAAUCUCAAAUUAUAUUUAUUUAUUUGUUAAAAAAAAACCAAAGUGUUUAUUUAAGAAAAAAGCAAAAGAAAAACUGCUUUCUACUUGUGUUAGAUAUGAAAAAUUUAAAAAUGACUGUACUGGACUUUUAUCCACUUCAAGAGGCCACGUCUUUCCUCCACUAGAGGGCGACAUAGUGAAGUGGGCGGGGCUCUCCUUCACCUCUGCGUUCAACGUUCAGUCAAUAAGAAGUGGUGCUGUGAAGAGAACAAUUGUCUGAGUGAAUGUUGAACAUCAGCUAGUUUCUCCUGUUGAUUGAAACCUUGUUGUACAGAUGGAACAUUGGCUGUGGAUUCUUCUUGCUGCUUUUUUCUUUGAGUGUAAAGGAGAAGACAAAGUGAUCCAACCAGGAGGAGAAGUCAUUGCUGCUGAAGGAGACUCUCUCACACUCAACUGUACCUUUGAGACCAGUGUUUCAUACCCAUAUUUGUUCUGGUACAAACAAGAAGUGAACAGUUACCCAAAGUACAUGUUGAAACGUUACUCAAAAACAAAAGAAAAUGCUCCAGAGUUCAAAGAAGACAGAUUUGAUGCUGAACUCAAAGACAAAUCAGUUCCUCUGAAGAUCCAGAAGCUUCAUGUGUCUGACUCUGCUGUGUACUACUGUGCUCUGCAGCCCACAGUGACAGGAAACAGCAAAGCUCUGCACAAAAACCUGCAGAGCAGAGACAACAUCCUCUAGAGGGCGCUCAAAAGCUGACUAUCAUCACCAUUAAAAUGUAGACUAAU